ACCAACCCGAUGCAAACUGCGAAUACCGGAGAAUGUUAUCACGGGAGACACACGGCGGGUGCUAACGUCCGUCGUGAAGAGGGAAACAACCCAGACCGCCAGCUAAGGUCCCAAAGUCAUGGUUAAGUGGGAAACGAUGUGGGAAGGCCCAGACAGCCAGGAUGUUGGCUUAGAAGCAGCCAUCAUUUAAAGAAAGCGUAAUAGCUCACUGGUCGAGUCGGCCUGCGCGGAAGAUGUAACGGGGCUAAACCAUGCACCGAAGCUGCGGCAGCGACACUAUGUGUUGUUGGGUAGGGGAGCGUUCUGUAAGCCUGUGAAGGUGGCCUGUGAGGGUUGCUGGAGGUAUCAGAAGUGCGAAUGCUGACAUAAGUAACGAUAAAGCGGGUGAAAAGCCCGCUCGCCGGAAGACCAAGGGUUCCUGUCCAACGUUAAUCGGGGCAGGGUGAGUCGACCCCUAAGGCGAGGCCGAAAGGCGUAGUCGAUGGGAAACAGGUUAAUAUUCCUGUACUUGGUGUUACUGCGAAGGGGGGACGGAGAAGGCUAUGUUGGCCGGGCGACGGUUGUCCCGGUUUAAGCGUGUAGGCUGGUUUUCCAGGCAAAUCCGGAAAACCAAGGCUGAGGCGUGAUGA
rnacentral:rRNA from 1 species